ACCCAGCUGGGCUCAGUAGAUAGAGCGUCGGCCUUCCGAUCCCAGGGUCCCGGGUUCGAGUCCCGGUCAGGGCA
rnacentral:tRNA from 1 species